rnacentral:rRNA from 1 species
AGUACGUUGCUUUUCAAAAAUGUGGGUAGAGCUACUUAUUAAACUUAGAUUUUGCUAAGUUUUAUUAAACUCCAAAUUAUAUUUUUAUUUAGCAGCAGACAGUCAUUAGGCGAUAAGGUUCAAUGUCAAAAGGGAAACAACCCUAAUCGAUGGUUAAGAUCUUAAAAUUAUGAAUUAGUGAAAAAAUGAAAAGUAAUUCGAAUAAACAGAGUAGGCUUAGAAGCAGCCAUCUAUUGGAGAAAGCGUUUUAGCUCAUUAUUUUUACUUAUUUUACUCAUUUAAAAUGUAAGGAGACUUAAAUUCAUAUAUCGAAGCUUCGAAUUAAGUUUAAUUUUUCUUAAUGGUAGCGGAACGUCCUGUAGUCUUUUCUGUUAAUGUUAAAUUGCAUAUUAAAAAUCAGGAGUGCUAAUGCUGACAUGAGUAGCGUCAACCAUGUUGAAAAUAAAUCAUGGUCGUCUAUUGCUCAAGGGUUUCCAGUAAAUUUUAAGUAACUGGGUUUAGUCGGCCCUUAAAAAAAAAGUGAAAACUGUACUUGAUAGGAAAAUUAUUCCGCAUGUUUGCAAAAUAUUUUUGUGUAAAAAAGUACUUUUAAAAGUUUUGCUUAAUAAACUAGCAACUUAAAAAAAGUAUUUUUCAGGAAAAUUUGCAUGAAGUUUGACCGUACUUAGAACCGACACAGGUGAGCUUAUUGAGAAGAUAAAGACGAAUGAGAUAAUUAUACUUAAGGAACUCGGCAAAUUUGCUCCGUACGUUCGCAACAAGGAGUACCUUAAAGGAUUCAAAAAUUAGGGGUAGCGACUGUUUAACAAAAACUCAAAACUUUGCAAAUUCGAAAGAAGACGUAUAAGGUUUGACGCCUGCCCAGUGCUUGAAAGCGAAAAAUACACGUUAACGCUUGUAUCAUAAACUCAAGUAAACGGCGGUCUUAACUAUAAGGAUCCUCAGGUAGCGAAAUUCCUUGGCGGGUAAAUUCCGUCCUGCAUGAAUGGCGUCACGACUACCCCACUGUCUCUAGUAUAAACUCAGCGAAAUUACAUUGUCUGUGAAAAUGCAGACAUCCUACAACAAGACGGAAAGACCCUAUGAUUCUUAACUAUAAUUUUACGUCGCAAUAAUUUUGUGUACAGUACAGUAAAAGUAGGAGUAUACUUAUACAAUUUUGAAAAACUACUCUGUACAUAAGAAAUUGCUUACUGAAGAGAAAAUAUGUAAAAGUGGUAGUUUACUUGGGACGAGGACCUCCUAAACUGUAACGGAGGUGCACAAAAGUAAAUUUUAAUUAGUUUUUUGUAUUAAUAAAAUAUGUAAUGGUAAAAAUUUGCUUGACGGUAAGAGUUACAACUCAAACCGGGACGAAAGUCGGUCAUAAUGAUCCGGCAGUAAUGUAUGGAAAUACUGUCGCUUAUCGGAAAAAAGAAACUCUAGGGAUAACAGAUUUAUCAUGGCUGAGAGUUCUUAUCGACGCCAUGGUUUGAUACCUCGAUGUCGGCUCAUCUUUUCCUGGAGCUGUAACAGGUUCCAAGGGUAUGGUUGUUCGCCAAAUAAUAAGAUACGUGAGCUGGGUUCAGAACGUCGUGAGACAGUUCGGUCCCUAUCUGUUGUGGGUAAGAAAAAACUAGAUUUAUCUUUAGUACGAGAGGAUUAAGAUAUAUUAACCAAUAGUGUAUCGGUUGUAUUGUUUCUUGCAUUGCCGAGUAGCCACGUUAACAUUAUAUAAGUGCUGACAGCUUAAAAGCACAAAAAUAAUCUUUAUUUUUUCAAGAACUUUCUAGAAGAUUACUAGAUAGAUCGGUUUAUUAUUUAAUACUUGUAAAAGUAAGUAAAUAAAUACGAAAAGUUCAUUAUAAUUUGUGUU